rnacentral:lncRNA from 1 species
CUUGACUAAAUCGGCACUGAGCUGCUUAGGUUGCUCAGGAAAAGCUGCGGUAGCAUCACCAUCAGUAGCCGUAGUUGUAGUUGUUGUAGUAGCAGCAGCGGCAGCGGCUGGUGGUUCAGGGUAGUUAGGAGAAAGCUGAACCGGAGGUGCAUCUCUUUGGAGUGUCCCAAAAGCAUUGAAAGUGAUUGCAGCUAUGGAGUUCACUUGUUCUUGCAACUGUGAUAUUAUAUCCAUCUUCUUCUAAAACCUUAAAGCAUGCAUGAACAUACAUACAUUCACACAAAGUAAGAUGUUACUUUCAGAUUGGUACUCAAUCUAUUAAUCAAGAUUCUAAAUUUCAAUCUUUACUUGCGUAUUGCGAAAUCCCAGUAGAAAAUUUGGAAAUUAAUCCAUUUAAGACAAUAACAUAAACAAAGUCCACAAACUAUUUGAGUUUCAGCUAAUCUCAAUAACCUUGUAGAAUUCAUUCAUCACAUUAGAGAGGAAGCGAUCUACUGAUUCUCCGACAAGGUUGACGGAGUAGAGGAUUCAAGGAAGAGACUUACCCGUCGACGGGAGUUUUCUCCGGCUAAGCAGAAGUCGACGACAGAAGAUCGCCGUGACUGGCCGGCCACUGGCGUUUUGAUAUUUUGUCUGGUUUAUUCUGCCUUCUGGAUUUUAUUACUUGACACGGGCUUUAACUGGGCCCUUUUGUCUUCAUAGUUACACAAUUCCUGUGUGUUUUAUGACAUUCAUUUGUGAUAUAAAUAAAUAAAAUGCUUUUGUUUCCAAGAUUUACAAUCAAAUAUUCCAUCUGUUUCGUAUUAAAUGCUGUUUUAGCUUUGAUUUUGUUUCAUUAUAACUGUCAUUUUAAUUUCCGAUGCAUAUUUUAAACAAGUUUUCCAAUUUUUAUUCUUAUUUUUAAUUCAUAAAUGAAUAAAACCAAACAAAAAAUUACAUUAAAUUAGGAUUUUUUAAGCAACCAUUAAAUUAGGAUAAAACAGAAAAUUUAAUAAUUUUUUCGAUUCAUAUGCAAAAACUUUAAAUGAUACUUAAAAUGAAAUGGAAAGAGUACGUUCGAAACGAGGAGUAAAAUAAUAUGAUGGCGGAUAAACUUACACAAAAUAUUUAUCUGAUUAAUCUUAUAAGAUUUUGCUAGAGGUGGGCACUUCGGUUAUUUUAUCGGUGAGUUCAGUUUAGUUUAGUUAAUUCGUUUCUAUAAUUUUUCCAACUGAAGUAAACCAUAAUUAGUUUGGUUUGGAUCGGUUUCGGUUCGGUUUAUGUUUCGAUUCGGUUUAAUCGGAUUCCCUUAAUUUAUUUUUUUUAGGAGACAUCAUAUUUUAAAACAUAUGGUCAUGAAAUCAUCAUAUUGGUGAAUAUGAAAAAAAAAUGUAAAACUACAUCUAAUUUAAAAUUUAAAAUAAAAACUUUAAAACACACAAAAAGUUUAUAAGAACAUAAUCAAAUCAAAAUUAACUAAAAUAAAUAGAAAAUUAAAAAACAUCAUUAAUAGUGCUUCUUAAAAAUAAACUAUGUAAAUUAAAUCUAAUAUAAAACUGAAAAAAAAUCUUUAAAAAUCACAAAAAAUUAUAAGAACACAAUCAAACUAAAGUUAACUAAAUUAAAUAGAAACCUAAAAACCCAACAUUGUUAAUAAAAUUAAUAGUGACUUUAGUGUUAGGGUUUUAGAAUUUUUUAUAUUGCUAGUAUGUUUUAAUUCAAAUAAUGACAAAAAACACACUGGCUUCUCGGUUCGGUUUAGCUCGGUUUGGUUCAGAUCGGUUUCGGUUUGGAUGUUUCGGGUUGGAAAAAUCUUAAACCAAACUAUUUGAUGAUAGACUAUGGUUCGGUUUGGAUCGGUUUCAGUUCGGUUGAUUCAAUUUUAUAGGUUCAGUUCGGUUUUUUUACCCGCCGAUAGAUUUUGAUUUUAAAAAAUUGAUUUUUUGGAGUUUUCUUUUUAUUUGUUUCCUACAUACUAUAUACAAAGUAAAAUAUAGUAUUUGAUUUUGCGAUUGUAUUUUUAUUGGUUAACCUAUAUUUUUCAAAUACUAAAUGAUUUUUAAUGUAAAGUAUAAAAUAAAAUAAUAUGUUAAAUAUACUUAUAAGCUUUUCUUUCUUCUUUUAAUUUCAUUUAUUAGUUUGUGAGGGAAAAAAGAAUGUGGCUCAUAAUCGAGCUAAAAAGGCCAAGUAACAAACGCUCCCCGUGGUGGACACGAGACUAUCCUUAAUUCACGGCCAAGAAAAAAUAAUCACAUAUUUACAAAAAAAGAAAACCAAUAAAUAUCAACACUAAUAUUUUUCCUAUCCUAUUUUUCCAACACACAAAAAAUAAAAAACAAUCUUCGUCUUCCUCCUCUCCUCUCCUCACCACAACAAUGGCGUCUCUCCUCGCGAACGGCAUCUCCAGCUUCUCACCCCAACCCACCCCCGAUUCCUCCAAAUCCCCCAAAUCCUUCCACCCUAAACCCGACUCCUUCAAAUUCCCCUCCUCCUCGUCAAAAACCCUAAUUCCAACUCCGCGCCUCGUCAAAGCCAGAGCCGACGUCGGCACAAUCGAAUCCAAUCCAGCAGGUAACUCCUCCUCCUCCUCAACCGAUAAACUCCAACAGUACUUCCAAAACCUAGACUACGACAAAAAAUACGGAUUCGUGGAAGACAUCGACUCCUUCACAAUCCCCAAAGGCUUAUCCGAGGAAACCAUCCGCUCAAUCUCAACCCUCAAGGAAGAACCCGAUUGGAUGCUCGACUUCAGGUUCAAAGCCUACGCCAAGUUCCUCACCCUCAAGGAGCCUCAAUGGUCUGACAAUCGCUACCCUCCCAUCGACUUCAACAACAUGUGCUACUACUCCGCCCCCAAAAAGAAACCCACUCUCAACUCCUUAGACGAAGCCGACCCUCAGCUCCUCGAGUAUUUCGACAAGCUCGGCGUCCCCUUAACGGAACAGAAACGGUUAGCUAACGUCGCCGUUGACGCCGUUCUCGACAGCGUCUCCAUCGCCACCACUCAUAGGAAGACUCUAGAGAAGUCCGGCGUCAUCUUCUGCUCCAUCUCCGAGGCGAUCAGAGAGUAUCCUGAUCUGAUCAAGAAGUAUCUAGGGAGAGUCGUGCCGAUUGACGAUAACUACUACGCCGCUUUGAACUCAGCUGUGUUCAGCGACGGCUCGUUUUGCUAUAUCCCCAAGAACACGAGGUGUCCUAUGCCGAUUUCGACUUACUUCCGGAUCAACGCUAUGGAGACUGGUCAGUUCGAGAGGACGCUGAUUGUAGCGGAGGAAGGGAGCUUUGUGGAGUAUCUGGAAGGGUGUACUGCUCCUUCUUACGAUACCAAUCAGCUUCACGCUGCCGUUGUUGAGCUUUACUGUGGUGAAGGGGCUGAAAUUAAGUACUCCACCGUGCAGAACUGGUACGCUGGGGAUGAAGAAGGGAAAGGAGGGAUUUAUAAUUUCGUCACGAAGCGUGGUCUUUGCGCUGGGGACAGGUCCAAGAUCUCGUGGACUCAGGUGGAGACGGGGUCUGCCAUCACUUGGAAGUACCCGAGCGUGGUUCUGGAAGGUGAUGAUUCCGUGGGGGAGUUUUACUCUGUGGCGUUGACUAAUAACUACCAGCAGGCUGAUACGGGGACGAAGAUGAUUCACAAAGGGAAGAACACCAAGAGUAGGAUCAUUUCGAAGGGUAUCUCGGCUGGCAACUCGAGGAACUGUUACCGUGGUCUUGUUCAGGUUCAGUCCAAAGCUGAGAAUGCUAAGAACACUUCGGUUUGCGACUCUAUGCUUAUUGGUGAUAAAGCAGCUGCUAAUACUUAUCCUUACAUCCAGGUAUACAUUGUUUAUAUGAAUAUGAUCUAGUCUUUGUUAUAAGCUAUGUGAUAAAGUCUGAACUCUUGUGUUGUGGGUUUGGAACAAUUGACAGGUUAAGAAUCCAUCAGCGAAAGUUGAGCAUGAAGCGAGUACAUCAAAGAUUGGAGAAGAUCAGCUUUUCUAUUUCCAGCAGAGAGGAAUUGAUCAUGAGAGAGCGUUAGCUGCGAUGAUCUCAGGGUUCUGCAGAGAUGUCUUCAACAAGCUGCCUGAUGAGUUUGGAGCUGAAGUCAACCAGCUUAUGAGUAUUAAGCUUGAAGGAUCAGUGGGUUAGAAAACAUAACUCAAUUACAGAGCAGUUACGUUACAAAACAGUCUUUGUUGUGCUUCUCAAUAAAACUUUUCUUCUGGGUGUUUUACUAGUUUCAGUAUGUAAAACUUUGUAUUAUGUAAUGUUUUGAUAGCUUCAUGUGAACCAUAUGAAAGGUAUUGUUAAUAUUGUUACACUUGCUAAAAACAUGAAAACAAUAAUGUUCACAGAAGUGAUAUUGUAAUAAACUUUUGACGCACAAACUCAUUUUAUUCAAUUUGUGGGAUAUUUUUCUGACAAGUAUAAUCUUAAAAGCAGAGAAUUUUAGUGAUAAGAGAUUGCAUUUAUUCUAUAGAUUUUCCUUUGGUAUAUCUGGAACAAGCUUGGCUAUGAACACAUCAAAAGCCUAUUCACUGGCAAACAUCAGAAAUGUUCCUGCAAUUAUAUUGUUUUCCCUAAUUAGGAAUUGGAGCAAGAAAUUAAAGGAAUAAGCGAAGAGAGAGUACAUGCACUUAUAGAGGAAGAUGAAGAUGAUGCAUACAAAAGUUCUACGAGUUCAGGAUCUUAGGAACGAGUAUCCAUAUACUUUGGCCAAAUCCAAGCCAUCAAUCAACUCACUAUGGCCAUAUCAACAAACACUUAUUAAACUUGAUACAGCUAGCUUGAGGUCUGAUUCUUGAUUUAUUUUCUCUGUGUUUGUUAUAGCAAUGUUCUUGAUUUGCUGAAGCGGAACGAGGUUAGAUUGUCCAAGAAAGAUAUCCAUGUGGAGUAUCAUUUCGACGAGGUUGGAUUCUGUUUCUCUCCUUGGGUGUCUGGAAAAUGUGUUCAUGUAGUCAUCUAAGAUAACGUGGAGUCCCUCUAGUUAUGUGCAACGUUCACAUUCCAUGUUCUUGAAUAAUGUUCAAGCUGGAGACUGUAGCUAGUUACCUUCUCUUUUACUGUACUUUGUCUUCAGUGGUUUUCUGUUUUGGAUCAGGUAUUUUGGGCAAUCGCAGAGACAGAGCCAACCGACGUGAAGCUGGGGAUGGAUUUGUUAAGAUACAUAAAAGAGGAGCUUGGGUUUGUUCCUUCAAGAAAAAGUCUGGAUUUUCUCUUACAUGCUUGUGUUAAUGCCAAGGACAUGAAAAACGGUUUAUUGGUGUGGAAAGAGUACCAAUCUGCAGCACUUCCAUGCAACGUCCUUAGCUUUCUUAGGCAAGCCUCUCUUGUCCUCCUUUUAGCAAAUAUGCACGUCUAGAUUCGUAGUAAGAAGGAACAAACCAAAAGAUUAGAUCCAUUAGCACAAAAGAGUUCUGAAUUUAGCAAAGUGUUCAAAAUAAUGCAAUUGAUUAGAUCCUUUGUUCAUUGGUUAUGGUUUAUGGGUUUGGCAGGAUGUAUCAGGUUCUACUGGCUGCAGGGGAUUUGGAAGGUGCCAAGACAUUGGCAACAAAAAUUCCAAAAGAAGACAAAGAUGUACAGCAUGUCAUUGAAGAAAGCCAGAUUGUAUAUUCUCAGACACCAGAAAAGAAGAAAUCGAACAAGAAAAGGAUUGUCUUCCCAGGAAAAUAGGAAAGUAGUAUUGGCUGGUUUCAACACCCCUUGGUGUGAUUUUGUACAGAAGAGGGACUCAUACUCCAUUCUAAAGCACACAAGAUUGGUAGGCUCUGCACAAGUCUUGACAGUUGAAAAGAAAACGGAGUAAUAAUAUAGUUAUUUGUUUUGUUGUUGUUAGCUAAGGAACAUUCUUAUAAUUGCUUGCAACAACUUUUUGAUGAACCAAAUCACAACUUCUUGUACUUCUGAAUCUAAAACAUAAUUGUCGCCGAACCAAACCAUAUAGUUUCUGAAUCAGUUUGAAACACAAGAUUAAUCCUUUCACUCGGGUUUCUUCAUGUUCAGGCAAUUAUCUGCUGCUUGUCCAAAUAGCUCUUGGACUUGCUUUAGCUCUUUCUCUGUGAAGAAACAAGGUUAACACACUUUAGACCAGCUCAAUGUACGAAGCAUUUUGCAAAACAAAUUGGAGGAAAAUGAAAAAUGGAAAACUGAAACCACUGAAGAGAAUCUCCCUGCAAUGGUAAAUAACAACUUAAUCCUAGAGUGUUGUAGCAAGAAAGCAUACACAUUGAACAUGGAUCUGCUCCAUUUGAAGAGCAAAGUUGUCCAGAAAAAGUUUUUACCUGCAGCCUCUAAUUGCUUUUGGAGUUCUUGGCCAAUAAGAUCGUUCUCCACCUGAAAAAAAACACAGUAGAGAAGGAAACAGGCAAAGCCGGCCCCGUUAGUCUAAUAUAAAUACAUGAUUGUGGAAACAAGAUAAGUAACCUGUUUAACCUGGAGUUCUGCGAUUCUUUUGAGCUGAGCUUCUUCACCUCCUUCAGAUAAGGGAAGCGCCGCAACCAAAGCAUCAAACUUCACACAAAACAAGUACAAAAGUCAAGACCCAAGAAAUAGCAGAAUCAGAAUAGAAAUCAGAUCAGUAUCAAAUAGUUUCCGGCACCAAGACAUUAUCCAUCAUGCAGAUGACCUAAAUUCAUAUCAUAUUCGAAACUAAUGAGCUAAAGAUGACCAAGUUCCUCGAUUCUACACUGCUUUGUUGCUGCAUAUAUAGCAAAAAGGCCAUCUUGACUUUGCGAUUUAUCUAUAUAUCCUUAGUACAGAAGAACUCCAUAUAAACUUAGAAGGAUACGGGUAAAAAAUUGAAGAGAGAAAAAAACAAACCUGUUUAGCAGCCUUGACUAAAUCGGCACUGAGCUGCUUAGGUUGCUCAGGAAAAGCUGCGGUAGCAUCACCAUCAGUAGCCGUAGUUGUAGUUGUUGUAGUAGCAGCAGCGGCAGCGGCUGGUGGUUCAGGGUAGUUAGGAGAAAGCUGAACCGGAGGUGCAUCUCUUUGGAGUGUCCCAAAAGCAUUGAAAGUGAUUGCAGCUAUGGAGUUCACUUGUUCUUGCAACUGUGAUAUUAUAUCCAUCUUCUUCUAAAACCUUAAAGCAUGCAUGAACAUA